ACGGGCACAUCACGUUGAAAUACCGGUUCCCGUGCGAUCACUGAAGUUAAGCAACGUCGAACCUUGUCAGUACCUAGAUAGGUGACCACUUGGGAAUACCAGGUGUUGUAA